rnacentral:rRNA from 1 species
UACGGAGGAUCCAAGCGUUAUCCGGAAUUACUGGGCGUAAAGAGUUGCGUAGGCGGCCAAGUAAGUAGACAGUGAAAGCGUGUGGCUCAACCAUACAUACAUUGCCUAAACUGCUCGGCUAGAGAAUGAGAGAGGUGGCUGGAAUUCCUAGUGUAGGAGUGAAAUCCGUAGAUAUUAGGAGGAACACCGAUGGCGUAAGCAGGCCACUGGCUCAUUUCUGACGCUCAGGCACGAAAGCGUGGGGAGCAAGCAGG